GAGGCUUGCUUGUCGGCAACUGAGGCAAUUAUGGAGAGGAUUCCCCUAGAUCGUAGGCAUCAUAGGGGUCCUGGCUGUCAUCAUACCAAGACUUUGUCUUGGCAGGGCUCUGCAUGGGCUGGCAACUAGACGAUGAGGGAGAAUCAUUGUCCUCAUCAUCAUCCAUUUGAGAAGCCUGGAUGAUCAGCUGGCGUGCAAUUUCCUGGAGCUCAGCUUUAGACUUUCCUUCAACUGAUAAGGAUGAUCUGACUGAGCCUGUAGGAGAUACUGGGCGAGGAACUGGCUCCCGGGGGAGGUCAUUGUAGACGUACUUGGCAAUUUUGUCAACUUCAAACUUGUCUCACCAUUUGACUGAGAAUUGGCGGGCAAAUACUCGGACAUCCUUGGUAAUGGCAUAAGACCAUUUGAGGAUCCAAGGCACUUUGUAUCUGGCAAUAAACAGCAACUGUUUUGGGAAAAAUCUGUCAACUUGGGAGAACUUGGCGUGCUUGGUAUAGUGAAUGAUCAACUGGUGAACUGCAACUGGAAGGAUUUCAUCAACUGGACCAUGCUUUUCC
rnacentral:lncRNA from 1 species